GGGUUGUGAGGUUAAGCGACUAAGCGUACACGGUGGAUGCCCUGGCAGUCAGAGGCGAUGAAGGACGUGCUAAUCUGCGAUAAGCGUCGGUAAGGUGAUAUGAACCGUUAUAACCGGCGAUUUCCGAAUGGGGAAACCCAGUGUGUUUCGACACACUAUCAUUAACUGAAUCCAUAGGUUAAUGAGGCGAACCGGGGGAACUGAAACAUCUAAGUACCCCGAGGAAAAGAAAUCAACCGAGAUUCCCCCAGUAGCGGCGAGCGAACGGGGAGCAGCCCAGAGUCUGAAUCAGUGUGUGUGUUAGUGGAAGCGUCUGGAAAGGCGCGCGAUACAGGGUGACAGCCCCGUACACAAAAAUGCACAUAUUGUGAGCUCGAUGAGUAGGGCGGGACACGUGGUAUCCUGUCUGAAUAUGGGGGGACCAUCCUCCAAGGCUAAAUACUCCUGACUGACCGAUAGUGAACCAGUACCGUGAGGGAAAGGCGAAAAGAACCCCGGCGAGGGGAGUGAAAAAGAACCUGAAACCGUGUACGUACAAGCAGUGGGAGCACGCUUAGGCGUGUGACUGCGUACCUUUUGUAUAAUGGGUCAGCGACUUAUAUUCUGUAGCAAGGUUAACCGAAUAGGGGAGCCGAAGGGAAACCGAGUCUUAACUGGGCGUUAAGUUGCAGGGUAUAGACCCGAAACCCGGUGAUCUAGCCAUGGGCAGGUUGAAGGUUGGGUAACACUAACUGGAGGACCGAACCGACUAAUGUUGAAAAAUUAGCGGAUGACUUGUGGCUGGGGG
rnacentral:rRNA from 1 species